rnacentral:lncRNA from 1 species
UGGACGCGGUGCCGCAGCCGCCGCAGCCGAUGGGGGAGAGGGGCAUCCCUGAAGCUCUGAAGUUCUCCAUGGCUCAUGGUGAGUCUGCUCUGUCCUUGAGAUGGGUAUUUGUUUUGUGGCGUGGGAUGAGCUUGUUUAAUCUGUGCAUGCUACACUUGCUAGUAGAAAAGAGUAGAUAGUGGUGUGACACAUGGCUGGGUUCGGCUCUCAGUAAUUUAAGUUUCAGCAUUCACACACAGAAAAAUGUUUCAGUACAAAUUUGGCAAUGUUUGUAGCAUAUGUAGACAUAGAGAAUGCAAUUCUAGGAGAGCUUAGGUAAUGUCAAGUGCACAUAGUAUGAUCUUAGGUGUUUAUCUCAGAUAAUAGGGUUAUUACAAGAAAACCGUGUAAUGCGCCGUGAGAAGAGUAUGAUGUGCCAUUCCUAAUGAAUUAGUUAAAUAUGUGCAUGUUAGUAGAAAAGAGUAGACAAUGAUGUGAUACAUGUGAAUGCCACAGGGUUUGGUUCAGCUCUUGGUAAUUUAAGUUUCUGUAUAAAUUUGGCGCUAUCUGUACCUAUUUCUCGACAUAGGUAGAAAAAUUUGGUGUUGUUCAAAGAAAGGUAGAUAAUUUUUAGUAUGAAGUGUAAACCCAGAUACUAGAAUGCUUACCGCAGUGUGAAUAUGUGAGUUAAUUAGCUUAAAUUAGAUAAAAAAUUAGUACUCCCUCCAUAAAGAAAUAUAAGAGCGUUUAGAUCACUGAAGUAGUGAUCUAAAUGCUCUUAUAUUUCUUUACAGAGGGAGUACUUUCCAAUCUGCAAAAAAGUACUGAUCUUAAUGCUCUUAAAUUUACUGGUUUCUUCUAGCAAAAGUAUUGCCAAUUUGUGUAUACCUUGAUUCAGAGAUCAAUCACAUCUUGAUUCAGAAAAAACGUACUGCACAAUUAUGCUAUUUCCUGACAUGAGAAGAACACCCCAGCGCAUAACUAGUCUGUAGACGCGUGCCAUGGAAAUUCUGACAAUUUCUUGGGUUAAAGAAACAUUUUCUUUUAUUCAGGCAUGGCAUGACACCAAAAGAACCUAGUAUGUAACUAAUGCUAUAUAGAUUCGAUUCUUCUGAAACUUAUGCUUUUUUUGUUCGAAGACUGAACUUAUCCAUUUGAUAUGGAAAAUUGAACAUCAUAAGUUAGAUUGCCAUGGAUUCAUAAGUCGGACCUACUUCUGUUUUUAUGGAUCUUGGAAAUAUGAUUGAUGGUGCAUUUGGGUUCAAGUAAAGGAGGGAACAGUUCUGAGCACUCUGCAGGUGAUCCAGAGGUUGAUCCCAGUUCUAUUUCGUAUUUGGUCGCGGUCUGAUGGAUUGCUACUGAUGCUAGUUGGUGGUUAUGGCAGGGACAGAGACGGCCACCGAGUGAGCGAGGGAGGGCCCAUGGCGCUCUCCUGCAUGAGCUGCUCAUCCGUUUCCAGUGGCCCCUUUGUGCGCCGGCACGCAGAGAGUCCGCCCUGGUUGGAACAAGAUAAAUGAAGUGGGUUUACGAAUUUGAGAUCAUUCUCACUAGCUUUGGUAACUUAGAGAUAUUUAGCAUUCUUAACAAACCCCUAGCAUCUUCUUUGAGUUAGUAAUGUUAUUACAUACGUCUGUACUGUUGAUGGUUACUGAAAGGAUCGAUAUGGUUGACUAGAGGGGGGGUGAAUAGGCAACUAACAAUUUUUAGCUUUUCUUUAACAAGUUAAACUUUGCAUCAAAAUAGGUUGUCUAGAAAUGCAACUAGGUGAGCAACCUAUAUGAUGCAACGAGGAUAAGUACACAAGCAAGCAAGAGAUAUGAAACAAGUAAGCUUGCUUAAAUAAAGGCACGAGAUAACCAAGAGUGGAGACAGUGGAGACGAGGAUGUGUUGCCGAAGUUCCUUCCCUUUGAGAGGAAGUACGUCUCCGUUGGAGCGGUGUGGAGGCACAAUGCUCCCCAAGAAGCCACUAGGUCCACCAUAUUCUCCUCACGCCCUCACACAAUGCGAGAUGCAGUGAUUCCACUAUUGGUGCCCUUGAAGGCGGCUACCGAACCUUUACAAGCAAGGUUGGGGCUCUCUCCACAACUUAAUUGGAGGCUCCCAACAAAACCACGAAGCUUCACCACAAUGGAAUAUGGCUCCGAGGUGACCUCAACCGUCUAGGGUGCUCAAACACCCAAGAGUAACAAAAUCCACACAAGAAAGUAUGGGGGAACCAAAUAUCCUUUGGUGGAAGUGUAGAUCUAGGUCUCCUCCUUCAAUCCCUAGCAAAUCAACAAGUUUGAGUGGCUAGAGAGAGAGAUCGGGCAAGAGAGCUUGAAGGGCAUCAAUGGUGGAGUGAGAGAGGUCAAAGGUGGGAGUGGUAGGUGGGAGAAGCCCCCUUAAGUAGUCUCCCCACAAUUCCAACCGUUACUGCGUUUUUGCACUGCAGCGGUACAACCGGUCCUCGUCCCGGUACAACCGGGACUCACGGUGUAACAGCAGAACCCUACCAAGCGGUACAACCGGACAGGCGGGCGGUAGUACCGGCUAAGAAAGAUAACCAGACUAACCGCCUGGCUACCGCACAACCACCGCAUCAAAACAGGAGCUUGACCGGUACUUGGGCGGUGCCUGGCCGGAACAACCGCAUGGCCUUGAGCUCUUAGGCGGCUAAGUUCUGAGCGGAAGAACCGCUCGGACCACCGGUGGUACCGGUCAUCGUGGAACGACCGGACCAACCGGGCCACUACGGCCCAAGAACAGCAUCAAACCAGAGGCGAGAGCGGUACUUGAGCGAUACAUGGACGGAACCACCGCCCUAGCUGUUGCAGAGCAUGGUGGCGGUACCACCGCCCGGAGGCAGCGGUACAACCGCUCGAGCAAAAGCUGGUGAGCGACAAGACCCAUCAGUACAACCGCUCCAGAGAGCGGUACAACCGCUAGGCAGAAACAGUGAGCAGGAAAGAUGGGAAGAGGCAAGGAAAACUCUCUCUCUCUCUCUCACACACACACACACCUGAGGAAGGCAAAGAGAGGGUGAGAAAAGUGUACGUGAACUGAUUCCCCCAGAGCUUCCUAAUGAGGAUUCCCUCUUGAUAGUACGGGUACUCUACGACCAAAGAAAAUAAAAACGUAGAGGACACGUCUUCGAUCUUUUCCUUUGAGAGGUAAUAGCAAUCUGAUGUAAGCCUAAGCAUCGAGAACCUGAAACAUAUAGCACACGUUUAGACCACAAAGGGUUGUCAUCAUCAUCCAAAACAUAAAGUAGGGAAAUGGCCUUUCAAUCUCCCCCUUUUUGGUGGAUGAUGACAACAACACGAUUUGCAAGAGAUAAGUCAAUGAAAUUUAGACGGAACUCCCCCUGAAUGUGUGCCCCAACAAGUACUAGCUGUUAGAAAGCAUGGGCACACUUUCAGGACUAGACUCCCCCUAGAUUUUAUAGACUCAUCACUCUGAGCUCAAAAGGAUAGACAAUAUAAUACUUAGAGGCAAUAAUAAUGAUAAAGACCUACGAAUAAACGGAGUAGCAAGUCUAGCAAGUCUCACACACAGCACGGAACGAAACAAGUCCACAAACAAACACAAAAACACGAGAACAAGAGAAAACAACCCAAGCAAAUCCCCGAGACCUAUAGAACCCUCUCCCCCUUUGGCAUCAAGACACCAAAAAGGAAAAGAGCGAAGCUAGCGACCCAAAGCUCAGGCGUCCUCCUCUGACUCCUCAGUCGCAUCUGGAUCUUCAUCAUCAGAGUCAUCAUCGUCAUCGUGAUCAGAUACUUCCAUGGCAUUGUCAGCUGCUGCAAACGAGGAUGAUGGCUGGGGAGGGGCUUCAUCAUCAUUCCAGGUGCUAUGGGUAGAGAUCCAACGCUCCUCUGGGGUGAUGCUCUUCUCAGAGCCACUCUGAACCUGCAUGUUGAGGUGCUUCAUCAUUGCAAUUUGGCGACGCCGUGCGAGCUUCUCAUUGACAUGUGCCUCAUACAUCUUCUUCUGGAUGUCAGCCUGGAGACAAAAGGUCUUCUUUACCUUGGCAGUAAGUUUGGCCACCCACGAAGGCUUGGCCCCUGGCUCCAGCUCAAAGUCCUCAUCGUCAGAAGUAGCAUAGACAUCCUCAGGAGCAUGUUCAGGGAAGUGAGGCUGGGCAUGCUUCUUCUUCUUAAGGAGCUUGACCUCAUGAACAGUGAGGUUGUCUGGAGAAGUGAGGAGCUCUCCAGGACGACGAACAACCCACACAGAGUUCAGAAAGCACAUGACAAACGGAGCAUAGAUUGGGACUUUAUGGUAGAUGACCAUGUUGUACAUCUCAUGCCACAACCAAUUUGACACAUCAAACGUUGCCCCUGUCCCCACCAUGGUCUUCAUGGCAACCAUCAAAUCAACCAGAUAGCCAUGAAUUUCAUCUUGAUUGUCCACCUUGGGCAAGAGCACAUUGCGGAACACUCGGUGCAUGAUGUCAUAGACCUUCUCCAAAUCCUUGGAUUCUCCAAUAAUCCCACGGCCCCGAAUGUACAGAGGGGCAAGCUUCUCCUUAGGCAUGGACUCAGGAAAAUCAUGAGGGCGAAUGCCACCCCUUCCUUGCAGACCGGUAUCCUCGUACCCAAUAGCAUUGCAGAAAGCCCUCCAGGGAACGUGAAACAAUUCAUCGCGACACAUGAAGGUGAGAGUGCGCGCAUCAUCUUCCCCAAAAUGAACCAUGGCAUAGAACUGAUGGAUGAGUUGAACAUCAAAGUCACAGUUGACUGACAUGAUCUUGACAAGAUCAAACUCCUCGCAGAGAGCUAACGCCUCACCAAAAUACUCCAUGUUGUUCCUCCAAUGAUCAAAAUCAAUCGUCCACUGCUUGGCAUAUCUAUUCUUGUUGUGCUCAAAGAGUUCAUGAACAAUCCGCACUUGCAUCUCAUUCCGGAACUGAACAGUGGUCCAACGGGGAGCAAUGGGAACCUCAUACGGAUUCUUUGAGCGGUAGGCUUCCCAAUCCUUGGCUUUCCAACGAUGCAACGGCAUGACCACACGUUGCUUAGCAGCUGUAGACUUUUCACGGCGAGUAGGCUUGGUGGGAAUCACAACUUCUUCAUCAUCUGACACAACUGGGCGCAAGGUCCUUCGUGCCCUCUUCUUGGUCUUGCAAGGAGCAGAGCGAGAACUAGAGCCACCUGAACACACACACGAAAAGAACACACACAAAACCCAACAAGGAUGAGAGGAUUGCACCCACUAGCAGAAAAGGAACAAGUUGCAACAACAGAGAAGAUAGAACAGUGCUUAGUGGUUGAUAUACUCCGGUUGUACCGGAUCUUCCGCCGGUAGUACCGCUCCAGCGGUUGUACCGCCCGUAGGGGCGGUAGAACCGCUGACAGUGGCACUACCAAGGAAGAUAGAUCUAACCGAGGCAUACGAAUCACACAAGUAAUAUUCCGAAUUCUAAGUGCUGCAAACAAGACAGGAGGAUAACAAAGAACUCUUCUAAGCCAUAGCUCAAACACUAAACGCGGAAAGAUGGGUAAAGCCCUAGGCAAGGAAUAACCCUAAACAAAAAUCUAGAGGCAAAGAACACGAGGCAUUAACACCAUCCAUGGGAAGAGUUCGGAAGGCCUCCACGGAGAGAAUCCAUGGAGAUCCAAGGAUCCGAAGCGCGAGACGCACUCCGAGGCAGGGGUAGAGAUGGCCGGUGGCUAGGGCAAGAAAAAGAGGAACGAGGGCGAAGGGAAAAAGACAACCCUUCAGCCCCGUCGAGUAUAUAUAGGCCCGUACGCACGCCCCGGUAGAACCGCUUAGGGGAGCGGUUGUACCGCUCGUCUGGUACAGACCGGUGGAUGGAGGCGGUACUUCUGGUGCCUGGAAGGCAGCGGUAGUACCGCUCGGCAACAACCGGUAGUACCGGACGUGGGUUACCGUGGGAUUGUGCGGUGGAACCGCCCAGGCACUGAACGGAAACCCUUGGGACGGCACAACCCGGUACCAGCGGUAGAACUGCUCGUGGUACCGGUUGUACCGCCCGACCACCUAAGCCCAAGCCAAGAUCAAAUGAGUGCAAUCCGAAGGGAGGAAGAAGGGGCACAAAAACAGGAGAGAAACAACACCCUAGGAGAACCUAACACAAAGAGCAAAGAGAGAAAGAGAGAAAACAACACGAGAACAGCAAGGCUAACUCCAACUCCCCGAAGAGAGGACGGUGGCCGAGGCCACCUAUGUUUGAGUCAAUUGGUAUGGCACUGCGAAGAAUUAUCCUUGUGUCCAUGACCAAAACUCGUCUUUGAAGCACAAGUACCAUCAGAUAUGGCUAAUGUGAAAGACACAAUCAAUUUAUGCAUAAUGGGGGGAGGGAGAGUUCACUGAGAGAACAACACUCCCCCUAUGUCCAUGCCUACACCUAAACUAGACAACAAGUUGAGCGUGGUAGGGUGUGCAAGGGUUCAAGCCACAUUGCUCGAAUCAAUGAUAUUUAGAUCAUGCCUUAACUUGCGAAAUCUUGCUUCAUCUAAGGGCUUUGUGAAAAUAUCUGCAAGGUUGUCAUGAGUGUUGACAUAGUUGAGCUCGAUCUCUCCUCGUCUAAUGUGAUCCCGGAUGAAGUGAUACCGGAUCUCAAUAUGCUUCGUCUUGAAAUGUUGUACUGGAUUGAGAGAGAUCUUGAUGGCACUUUCAUUGUCACACCAAAGAGGAACUUUGUCACAAGUGACACCGUAAUCCUUUAAAGUUUGCCUCAUCCAUAGGAGUUGAGCACAACAACUACCGGCAGCAACAUACUCCGCCUCAGUGGGCGAGAGAGACACACAACUUUGCUUUUUGGAAGACCAACUUACCAAAGAGCAACCAAGGAAUUGGCACCCUCCAGAAGUGGACUUCCUAUCCACUUUUUCUCCCGCCCAAUCGGAAUCCGAGUACCCUACAAGCUUAAAGUUUGAUCCUCUAGGGUACCAUAGGCCAAAGUUUGGGGUAUGAGCCAAAUAUCGAAAGAUUCGUUUGACCGCCACAUAGUGACUUUCCUUAGGUGCGGCUUGAAACCGUGCACAAAUUCCCACACUCAACAUGAUGUCCGGUCUAGAUGCACAAAGGUAAAGCAAGGAUCCAAUCAUGGAAUGAUAUACCUUUUGAUCCACCACUUUACCAUUGGGAUCUAAGUCAAGUUGGCACUUGGUGGGCAUUGGAGUGGAAGCCGGCUUGACGUCACUUAGCUUGAAUCUCUUGAGCAUGUCUUGAGUGUAUUUGGAUUGAUUGAUGAAGGUUCCUUCUCUUAUUUGCUUCACUUCGAACCCUAGAAAGAACUUCAACUCUCCCAUGGAGGACAUCUCGAACUUUGAGGUCAUGAGAGCGGCAAAUUCCUCAUUGAAAGCUUUGUUAGGAGAACCAAAGAUAAUAUCAUCAACAUAUAAUUGGCACACAAACAACUCCCCUUUGACCUUCUUAGUAAAAAGAGUGGGGUCGAUUAGCCCAACUUCAAAACCACGGUCUUGUAACAACUCGGUAAGGUGGUCAUACCACGCACGUGGGGCUUGUUUAAGACCAUAGAGCGCCUUAUCGAGUUGAUACACAUGAUCGGGAAAGUAGGGAUCCUCGAACCCGGGGGGUUGCUUGACGUAAACCAAUUCAUUAAUGGGACCAUUAAGAAAAGCACUCUUCACAUCCAUUUGUUGUAACUUAAAAUUAUGAUGAGAAGCAUAUGUAAUUAACAAGUGAAUGGAUUCAAGACGAGCAACGGGAGCAAAGGUUUCACCGUAGUCGAUACCCUCGACUUGGGAGUAGCCUUGUGCUACCAAACGAGCCUUGUUGCGAAUGAUAAUCCCAUGGGCAUCUUGCUUGUUAUUGAAUAUCCACUUGGUUCCAAUGACAUUGUGGUUCCCCGUUGGCCUUGGCACCAAUCUCCACACUUUGUUGCGCUCGAAGUUGUUGAGUUCUUCGUGCAUGGCAUUGAGCCAAUCCGGAUCUUCUAGCGCCUCAUAGACCUUGUGGGGUUCCACACAAGAGACAAACGCGUGAUGCUCACAAUAAUUUUCUAAUUGUCUACGAGUGCUUACCCCUUUUCUUAAGCUUCCAAGCACAUUCGUCAUGAGAUGAUCCUUGGUGGAGAGCUUGGAUGCAAUCUUGGCGGCACGACGCUCUAAUUCCUCCUCGGUGGUGAGUUGAGGAGCGGUUACUUGAUCAUCUUGAGCGCCGUCAUGAACUUGUUCUUGAUCUUGAACUUGCUCGGGGGAGAGAACUUGACCUUGGGCAUCACUUGGUGUGUCAACACCGUCUUGAGUAUGAUCUUGCCCUUGGUCUUGUUCAUGAGGUUGAGGGCCUUCACUUUGUUCUUCGGAAGCGUGUGGGCCUUGGGUUGGUGAUGGCUCCACUUGAGUGGAGCAUUGUCCUUCUCCUUCGGCCACAAGGGGUUCCUCAAUGGGUAGGAUAAAACCAACACCCAUUCUUCUUAUGGCUUGAGGAGGAAUUUCAUCACCUACAUCACAAGUGCCACUUUGCUCCACUUGGGAGCCGUUAUUCUCAUCAAACUCCAUGUUACACGUCUCCUCAAUAAGUCCCGUGGAUUUAUUGAGGACACGGUAAGCAUGAGAGUUUGUAGCAUAACCAACAAAUAUGCCCUCAUGAGCUCUAGCCUCAAAUUUAGACAACCGAACACCUUUCUUGAGAAUGAAACACUUACACCCGAACACCCGGAAGUACUUGAGGUUGGGCUUGUUACCGGUGAGUAUCUCAUAUGGAGUCUUGUUCAAGCCCUUGCGGAGGUAGAGCCGAUUGCAUGCAUGACACGCGGUGUUGAUGGCUUCGGCCCAAAAGUUGUACGGAGACUUGAACUCCGCCAUCAUGGUCCUUGCCGCAUCCAUCAACGUCCGGUUCUUCCUUUCCGCAACACCAUUUUGUUGAGGGUUGUAUGGUGCGGAAUAUUGAUGCUUGAUUCCCUCAUCACUAAGAAAUUCAUCCAAGGUGUAGUUCUUGAACUCGGUGCUGUUGUCACUUCUUAUUGUCAAGAUCUUUGCAUUGUGUUGACGUUGUGCUUCAUUUGCAAAGUCAAUGAUGGUUUGUUGGGUCUCGCUCUUCCUCUUGAAGAAAUACACCCACGUGUACCUUGAGUAGUCAUCCAGAAUCACCAAGCAAUACUUCCUACCUCCAAGACUAUCGAAGGAUGGAGGCCCAAAGAGAUCCAUGUGAAGGAGCUCCAAAGGCCUCUUUGAAUAAAUGAUAGUCGUGGGAGGGUGAGCCUUCUCAUGUAGCUUUCCUUCGAUACAGGCACUACAAGCACGAUCUUUAGCAAAACUAACAUUCGUUAGUCCACAGACAUGGUCCCCCUUGAGGAGACUUUGCAAAGAUCUCAUAUUGACAUGGGCUAAACGGCGAUGCCAAAGCCAUCCCACAUCAACUUUAGCCAUUAGGCAUGUCGCGGUCUUAGUGGGUCGCUCCGAAAAGUUAAUCACAUAUAGACCGUUCUCGACAUGCCCAACAAAGGCUACUUUAAGAGUCUUGCUCCACAAGAGGGCCACGGUAUCGAUAUCAAAGAAAGUGGCAAAGCCCAUGAUUGCAAGUUGACGAACGGAAAGUAAAUUGUAUGCAAGGGACUCAACAAGCAUGACCUUCUCGAUCGUGAGAUCAUGAGAGAUGACCACCUUGCCAAGUCCCAAUACCUUAGAAGAUGAGGCGUCACCCCACUCGACAUUGGUGGGCAUAGAUGGAACCUUCUGCACGUCCACCACCAAGUCCUUGCUUCAGGUCAUAUGAUUUGUAGCUCCGCUAUCAAGCAACCAUGAUCCACCACCGGAAGCAAACACCUACAAGAUAUCAAUGCUUGGUUUUAGGUACCCAUUUUGUAAUGGGUCCUUUGAUAUUAGUAACAAGGGUCUUAGGAACCCAAAUAGACCAUUCAAUGUAUUCAUGAAGAGAACCACAAAUUUGGCAUAAACAUGCCCAUCACUAGCACGGCAUAACACAUAAGAAGGAUUAAAAUCGCCGGCUUUGUUGGGAGGGGUGACAUUGCCCUUCUUGACAUUAUUCUUCUUCUUCUCCUCGGGGGCACUCUCUCCCUCCCUCACAAAGGUUUGCAUGAGAGGAGGAGGCCGUUUGGUCUUGUCAUUCUUCUUCUUGUUCUUGGAGUCGGGGACGUACCCAACCCCUUCCUUGGCCACACCUCCCUUUUGGUUGGUCAAGAGAUCGUUGAGGUUCUUCUUGCCUUGUAUGCAAGUCGCAAGACCUCUCUCAAGUUGCUCCUUCAACUUAGCAUUUUCCUCAACAAGAUGUAUAUGCUCACAACACGGGUUAGUAGCAUUUGCAUUAUCAAUUAAAACCAUAUGAGGAAAAGUUGCUUUCUCCCUAGUUAGCUUCACUUGGAGUUGAUCAUGAGACUCCUUGAUACUAGCGUGAAUACCCUUCAAGGCCUUGUGGGCCUUGUCAAGUAUAUCAAACUCCUCUUUGAGUCUAGCAAGAUCAACCCCGAGUUUGGCCUUCUCGGAAUUUAGCACACGAGAAACAACGAGGGCAUGAUCAUAAUCUUUCUCUAACGUAGCAUGAUCUACGUUGUGUGACUCCUCAAGAGCCAAACGAAGACCACGCUCUUCCUCAAGAGCAUUGGAAAGAUCCGAAAUCUCAUCGGCAUAGUCGCGACUAUGUCCUUCCAUCUUAGAGAUGGUGUCUUCGUGAGCCUCGAUAAUGUCAUUGGCCUCACCAAGUUGUUCCAAGAGAGCAAUAAAGUGCUUCUUGGAUUUUCCCUUGAGUUUGCCCAUAAAGGCCUCAAACUCGUUAGCCUCCACAUUAGCUCCCUCAAAUUCAUUAAUGCUAUCCGUUGGGGAAGGAUGAUUAAUGAUGGUAGUUUUGAUGUUGGAGGUUACCUUGUUGGUGGCUUUAGCCAUGAGGCACUUGGCGGUGAUGCUCUCGUUGGGUGAGUCGAAGAGAGACACCCGUGACGUUGUUGCAAUGGCAACGGAGGCCAUGGCAACCGACUCAUCAUCUUCAUCAUCGUCAUCGUCCUCAUUGUACUCUUCUUGCACAACCAAGGCCUUGGGAUGAGUCUUCUUGGUGAAGUUGUUCUUGUUGGGGAACGACUUGGCCUUGUCCUUUCGGAUGAGUUUGCCACCAUUGUCUUCCCUCUUCUCAUACGGGCAUUCCGCAACAAAAUGACUCACGUUGCCGCAAUUGUAGCAAGUCCUUACACGUUGCUUGCCCCUUGUACCACUCGAGUUGUUUUUGCUAAAGUUUGGCCUUGAGUUUUUCUUGCUCCAAAAUUGCCUUGAAGCAAGUGCCAUGUGUUCAUGAUAUGCAUACUUCGUAUCUUCGGGGUUGCUCUCCUCUUCUUCCUCUUCUUCGUCUUCCACUAUGAGCUUGGCCUUCAAUGCAAGGUUAGGCUUCUUUGCCCGUUGAGAACGAAGCACCGCAAUGUCGGCGGUCUUGUCCAAAAUGUUCAUGGCCACAAACUCAUCCAACACUUCGCUUGAGGUCAAAGUGUGGAAGUCCGGUCUUUGAUGAAUGACGGAGGACAUGGCCUUGUGAUAGGGCAUCAUUGCCUUGAGGAAUUUGUGCUUGAUCCAAUUGUCAUCCGUGUCCUUGCUCCCGUGAUCUCGUAGUGAGACCGCGAGUUUGGUUACUCUCCGAUAGAGCUCACGAGGUUUUUCAUCUUCCUUCAUUGCAAACUCAUCGGCCUCAUCUUGUACCACUUCAUAGUUGGAGCGUUGAAUGCUUGCGCUUCCCCGGUAGAGAGACACGACACAAUGCCAUGCAUCUUUGGCCAAGGCGAAAGGACGAAGAUGAGGUAGGUCUUCGGGUGGAAUAGCAUCUUGAAUGAUGAAGAGAGCAUUCUCAUUGAAUUGAUUGUCCGCGGCUUCUCGAGGAGUGAAGUUGCUUGGAUCAUGUGGAUAGAAACCUUCUUCAUUGAUUCUCCAAAGGUUAGUGUUCACAUGAUUUAAAUGACCUUUAAAGUGGUAAACCCAAGAAUCAAAAUCCUCAUUUUUCACAAUCUUAGGGGGAGGACCGACAUGAUUCAAAUGAGUGGAAGGAAUCGGUCCACCAUAAACAAGUGGUGGUUCCACAUGGGCAAAGAUGUUGGUGCCAUUCUUGCCACUAGAAGAAGGAGCCUUUUCACUACUAUCUUCCCCCUUGUCGGGGAUAGCAUGCGUCACCUUGUUGGCGGGAUCACCCACUUUCAACGAUGCGGUGGAUAGUUUAAGCCCCUCAAGAAAUUUAGUAAACAUGCUUUCGACUUCAGUCGUCAUGGAGGUUUUCAAUGUCUCCAAGGCCAUAUUGAACUCCUCACGAGAGACCGAAGUUCCCCCAUCUCCCGUAGACGAGAUCGGAUUCACACCGGAGUGUUCCUCCACACCGUCUACGGUAUCAACCAUACUCUUUGGACGGUAAAGUCCUUAAUAAAGAGACGAGGCUCUGAUACCAAUUGAAAGGAUCGAUAUGGUUGACUAGAGGGGGGGUUAAUAGGCAACUAACAAUUUUUAGCUUUUCUUUAACAAGUUAAACUUUGCAUCAAAAUAGGUUGUCUAGAAAUGCAACUAGGUGAGCAACCUAUAUGAUGCAACGAGGAUAGGUACACAAGCAAGCAAGAGAAAUGAAACAAGUAAGCUUGCUUAAAUAAAGGCACGAGAUAACCAAGAGUGGAGACGGUGGAAACGAGGAUGUGUUGCCGAAGUUCCUUCCCUUUGAGAGGAAGUACGUCUCCGUUGGAGCGGUGUGGAGGCACAAUGCUCCCCAAGAAGCCACUAGGGCCACCGUAAUUCUCCUCACGCCCUCACACAAUGCGAGAUGCCGUGAUUCCACUAUUGGUGCCCUUGAAGGCGGCUACCGAACCUUUACAAACAAGGUUGGGGCUCACUCCACAACUUAAUUGGAGGCUCCCAACAAAACCACGAAGCUUCACCACAAUGGAAUAUGGCUCUGAGGUGACCUCAACCGUCUAGGGUGCUCAAACACCCAAGAGUAACAAAAUCCACACAAGAAAGUAUGGGGGGACCAAAUAUCCUUUGGUGGAAGUGUAGAUCUAGGUCUCCUCCUUCAAUCCCUAGAGAGAGAGAUCGGGCAAGAGAGCUUGAAGGGCAUCAAUGGUGGAGUGAGAGAGGUCAAAGGUGGGAGUGGUAGGUGGGAGAAGCCCCCUUAAGUAGUCUCCCCACAAUUCCAACAGUUACUGCGUUUUUGCACUACAGCGGUACAACCGGUCCUCGUCCCGGUACAACCUGGACUCACGGUGUAACAGCAGAACCCUACCAAGCGGUACAACCGGACAGGCGGGAGGUAGUACCGGCUAAGAAAUAUAACUGGACUAACCGUCUGGCUACCGCACAACCACCACAUCAAAACAGGAGCUUGACCGGUACUUGGGUGGUGCCUGGCCGGAACAACCGCAUGGCCUUGAGCUCUUGGGCGGCUAAGUUCUGAGCGGAAGAACUGCUCGGACCACCGGUGGUACCGGUCAUCGUGGAACGACCGGACCAACCGGGCCACUACGGCCCAAGAACAGCAUCAAACCAGAGGCGAGAGCGGUACUUGAGCGGUACAUGGACGGAACCACCGCCCUAGCUGUUGCAGAGCAUGGUGGCGGUACCACCGUCCGGAGGCAGCGGUACAACCGCUCGAGCAAAAGCUGGUGAGCGACAAGACCCAGCGGUACAACCGCUCCAGAGAGCGGUACAACUGCUGGGCAGAAACAGUGAGCAGGAAAGAGGGGAAGAGGCAAGGAAAACUCUCUCUCUCACACACACACCUGAGGAAGGCAAAGAGAGAGUGAGAAAAGUGUACGUGAACUGAUUCCCCCAGAUCUUCCUAAUGAGGAUUCCCUCUUGAUAGUACGGGUACUCUACGACCAAAGAAAAUAAAAACGUAGAGGACACGUCUUCGAUCUUUUCCUUCGAGAGGUAAUAGCAAUCCGAUGUAAGCCUAAGCAUCGAGAACCUGAAACAUAUAGCACACGUUUAUACCACAAAGGGUUAUCAUCAUCAUCCAAAACAUAAAGUAGGGAAUGCCCUUUCAGUUACUACUGUUAGUUAUGCACUUGAGUGAUGGGUCUGUAGGAUAAUAAGAUCAUCAACUCUGCUACACAGGGUCUGUAGGAUAAUGCUGAUCAAAAUAUUGAUAUGUUAGGACUAGUUUCCUAGUGCAAAUGCACUAAGAAAAAUCAUGCGCCAAUUGACAUUUAUGCUAGCUAGCUAUAUUCAGUUGGUAGGUGCUCGUACUUAAACUGCACAUUUAAAAUUUAAGCUUUGGUAGUGUUAUCUAUUUAGUUUGAUUUAUACACUGCAUUCCCAAGCUGAAAUAUUUUUUGUAACGGAAAUAUAUAGUCUGAGUUUCAUUCAGUUAUUUGUCACUUUUUAACUGAAUAUCUUUUUGUAACUGAAAUAUAUGUGUACUUACAGUGCAUAUUCGCAUUGUAUUAGAAUCUUAGUCCUUUUAUCCUGUAUUGUCUGAGAUUAUGCUUCCUCUCCAUUUAUUCAUUAUAUCUAUAUGCCUUGCUGAUGCUCAUUUCUAUCGCUGUAGGAUAAUGAGAUGUUGAAGCGGCAGAGUGAAUCCAUGAGACUGUAGUGCAAUUGCACCGUUCCAUUGAAUAUUACUCAGGAAUAAGGACAUUUCAAUGGCAGAUUAGCUCUAUUUUUCCUUUUCAUUUUUCUUACUAUUGGAGUGAGGACAUGUAGAAAGAGAAAUUGUGUGGUAGCAGAUAUGGCAACUGUGUGAUAGUAGAAUCAGGAAUAAAGAAUAUGGCAACUGUGUGAUAGUGACAUUUUUCCAUCACUAUUGUUUCUC